CCCUCUAGCACGCUCUCGGUGUGGGUAACCAGUGGCGGGGCGUGUUUGGGAUGGGAAAGGUCGCGAGGGUUUAGCUACGUCGGCGGAGGGGAGAGGGAGAGAAGGAGGGGGUUGCGCGGCCGGCGGAGGUGGACGGUAUGGCGCAGGGGAGGGAGAGAAGGAGGGGGUUGCGCGGCCGGCGGAGGUGGACGGUAUGGCGCAGGGGCGACGGCGGUACCGGAGAAGUCCUCCGUGCGGGGAGGUACCACGCUUCGUCGUCCGGUCCUAGACCUACUCCUUCUCCUCUAGGCCCGCGGGGUUGCCACCUACCUAGCUACGCUCCACUGCUGCUCGAGGAGGCCUGCACCCCCCGUCGCUCCGGCCUCUAGGUCAGCCGCGUACGGGUAGUCCCAGCUUCGACGUCGCGAGGCCAGGGGUUCGACGGAGGUCCGAGCGAAGGAGGAGGUAGGAGCCCGUGCCUCCGUUCCAAGAGGCCGCCGCCGCCCUUGGAGGUCCGUCUCUCGCUGGGGAGCAGUUCAUCCCCUAGCUAAACAGGACGUCGAAGAAAGGGGAGAUAUUUCCUCUAAAAAAAAGGAAACGAACUACACAAAGGGAGGAAAGUUAACAUACUAAAAAUCCUACCCGGAAGGAUAGGUAUUCAAACGGAAAUAUGACGUAUAAUCAAGUGAGAAAACCCAUCUAUUGAUUUGAGGACGUUGGAAUGAUUUAGUAACUUCAACAGGAAGGGUUUGGCUCGAAACGAAAUGUUGUUGAACUGACGGACACAUAAACACAUCAAAAGACGUAUAAGUAUGCCGAGACUUACAACAAGGCAAGGAACUAUUUAUGUAGCGAGAUGUCCCAACUAAUUUCUUCAAUUGAGAAGAAGUAUCGUUAAAAAGUUUACGGGACUACCCUGCUGGGAUUUGUACCUAUCAAUUUGAACCAUAUAGUCGAGUUUGUGGACUAACCAUUUUACCUCAAGAUAACCAGGAUUGGCGACAAGAUUUAGGAAGUUUUUCUUUUUUUCACGAUAUGAUUUAUUUGAUAGACGAGAUAAUAAAAAUAAAUAAUCAGAACUAAGGUAGGUACAUAAAUAUCAUGGGACCCAUCGACGUCGUCACCACGAGAAAGAAAGAGAGAGACAUCCCUUGAAGGUCUACCCUAAAUCUGUUCCUUUUCCUCUGGGUACGCUUUAGCUCGCAGGACCACCACGGAGCUGGUUACGCCCAGCUGCCUAUCGUGGCCACUCGCGCCACGAACCACGUCGCUCGACCUAUCCGCCGUCCUCUCCACUGGUACCCACACCGAACCCCUAAAGGCGUACGUAGUUCGCUGCUGCUCACGUAGGUUGCGGUGGUACGACGACCAGGACCCCUUGUUCCAUUUUCUUCCUUAUCUUGUAACCUCUUUUUCCGUCGUCCUGCCUAAGAGAUUCGAAAGAGUUUACAAACUUGUUAAUCUUCUAUCAAUGUUAGUAAAAAGAGAACGGAAUAAUGUAGAACUACAAUUAUCCGAAACCUUCCAUGAUACGCGGGGCAAGUUCCAAAUGUCUUAAAAGUGGUAGGAUAAUGUCAAACAAGACUACUGUAUUAACUGGUCAAGAAGGAACUCAUUUAAUUAUAACACCGACGAUGAGGAAACACGUAACAAUGUAUCUCAAUAUAUUAACACUUCCACACAUGUGUAGUUGUAUUUUAAGGGUGCUAGGAUAAUGUCAAACAAGACUGCUGUUAUAACUCGUCGAGAAUGAACUCAUUUAACACGUCGAGAAGGAACUCAUUUAAUCAUAACGUCAAUGAUUCGGAAACACGUAAGGCUAUGUCGAGAUGAUUUUAUGAUGAAAGAAUACGGGUAAAAUUUGGCUCUGGGCUGAAAUGUAGUAAAGAUAAGAGUAGGUAAGAGGACUUAAAAUCAGGCGAAGUCGUUACGAUACUGG
rnacentral:rRNA from 1 species